UUCAGAGGCCCCAAGCGUUAAUCGGAGUUACUGGGCUUAAAGGGUGCGUAGGCCGGCCCGCAAGUGCUUUGUGAAAUCCCACGGCUCAACCGUGGAAUAGCUUGGCAUACUGCGGGCCUUGAGGUCGGUAGAGGUCGCUGGAACUGUAGGUGUAGCGGUGAAAUGCGUAGAUAUCUACAGGAACGCCAAAGGUGAAGACAGGCGCCUGGGCCGACUCUGACGCUGAGGCACGAAAGCGUGGGGAGCAAACGGG
rnacentral:rRNA from 1 species